AACAAACUGAAUUUUUGAAACGAAUUCGCAAUAUGAAGCUCGUCUCGUCAUACAAGGAAAUACGGAUUCAAUUUGCUCUGCGCUCAAGUCCCUAUGUUCCUCUGGAGGGUCUCAAGCUAACGGCUUGGUAGCUCUGAAACCUGGAGUAUCCACUCCGUCCUGUUUUGCGUCCUGUCCGCCCGAGGGUUUUGGAUUACCUCGUACACCCACAUUCGAACAAUACAUUCGAAUCCAGACCCCAUUGCAGAGCAGUAGUGCGGGAUCAAUCCAUCGAUCUAAUGCAACGGAUAAUUUCAUCGAUGCAGAUUGUAAAAGUGAAACCAUCCUGGGCAAUGAAGAACAACGAAUCGUAAUAAUUUAAGAAGAAUGUUUCUCCUAGAAGAUAGAUUCAGAAAGUACAUAUCAUUCGAGAUAUUUACAAGCUGUUCGGUGGUAUCUGUUGCAAAGAGAGUGCUACGAGGCGUUGGAUAAUCGUUGAUUAGGAUACAACUUCGUUUUAUUUAGGCUAGGAGAUCGUAAUGUAGGGUUUAACGAAAAAGAUUAUUGUACAGAAUUAUUAAUGCAUAUUUCAGUAAGGGAUAACAUCUAUAUUAUUGCCUAACAUUCAAAACAAUCAUCUGCGCUACGUUAGGGUUUCAUCUGCGCUACGUAGAAUGUUUAAUCAAAAUUGAAAGAGCAACGAAAGCUUAGGAUUGUUGGCUUAAAUCGUCUUUCUUAGUAAAAUAGGUACGUUAUUAUAUUUCAUUA